rnacentral:rRNA from 1 species
GAUGAACGCUGGCGGCGUGCCUAAUACAUGCAAGUCGAGCGAACAGACGAGGAGCUUGCUCCUCUGACGUUAGCGGCGGACGGGUGAGUAACACGUGGAUAACCUACCUAUAAGACUGGGAUAACUUCGGGAAACCGGAGCUAAUACCGGAUAAUAUAUUGAACUGCAUGGUUCAAUAGUGAAAGACGGUUUUGCUGUCACUUAUAGAUGGAUCCGCGCCGCAUUAGCUAGUUGGUAAGGUAACGGCUUACCAAGGCAACGAUGCGUAGCCGACCUGAGAGGGUGAUCGGCCACACUGGAACUGAGACACGGUCCAGACUCCUACGGGAGGCAGCAGUAGGGAAUCUUCCGCAAUGGGCGAAAGCCUGACGGAGCAACGCCGCGUGAAUGAUGAAGGCCUUCGGAUCGUAAAACUCUGUUAUUAGGGAAGAACAAAUGUGUAAGUAACUAUGCACGUCUUGACGGUACCUAAUCAGAAAGCCACGGCUAACUACGUG